GGUUUUUGUUUGCUUUCAUCUCCGCCAUUCGAGAUAGAUAAACAAUCGAGUUCUGCGAUCCCUGUUUCAUCUUCUUCCUUAAAAUCCGAAAGCUACCAGUUACUUUUCAUCUUCUUAAAGUCCUUAUUAAAUCCUUCACCCACCCACGAUCUACCUUGAAUGCGAACUUCCCCAUGAAAGGCGGUGGAACUGCGACUAUAAAAAGAAUGGUCAAGGACGUACAGUAGUGUGUUCCAUCCACGAGAGGCUGAAACAUGGAGUCAUUCAUUAUACAACUUCAAAGUCUCUUGCAUCACAGCUUCCUCUCUCGGUGUUCAUCAACAAGUUUUGGUUUUGUUCCUUACUUUACUUUCUCCCUGGAAGUUGGUGUCUUAAUAGCGUUCUCACGGUCUUCUAGCUGUCAAUCGAAAGAUGUUCAGUGUCUCUUGGAUUUUGUAAAGUGAUGGUUUUUGUUCUAUUUUGGUGUAACUUCUAACCCGAGGCUGAGAGUUUCUAAAGCAGGUCACUUUUGUUGAUCUAAAACCCAUUACCAUAGAAUCUCAAGAUUAAGACUUUACAUGGGACUAGGUGUUUUUAGUUAGUGGUUCCUAUAGGAUAUAUAAAGUUUGCUUUUUAUUUGGUGCUAGCUUCGUAUAUAUGGUCUUAACAUAUUUUUGAUUGAGUUUCAGAUGAUAGCCGUCAAUGGGCAGUUUCCAGGACCUCUGUUUAAUGCUACGACCAUCUACAAUGUUGUUGUUAGAGUCUAAAUUGGAUGAGCCUCUUCUUUUAACUUGCUGAGUCCAAGAGCUUUCUUUCUAUACCAACUGAUCAGUUAUCAAUAAAAUGUAUUGUUCUCAUUUGCUAUGUGACUACUAAUAUGCUUCUUUGAGUUCUUUUAAUUUGUUUUUUGGAAUAGGCAUGGGCCACCUGGCAUCCAAAUGCGGCGUAACUUGUGGCAAGACGGUCUUCAGGUGGAAGAUUAAAUUGGAAGCUUCUUCUACUCUCUCUGACUCAACUCUCAGAGAGCAUAUGGUAAUUUUGUUCAUGUUGUGAUUAGUAACCGGAAAAUUAAUCUUAUCCUUUUCGCACGGCCUGACUGCGAAAUGGUACACUCAUGACCAUAAAGUAUGUAAUCAUCACUUUGGUCUUUUGUCUGCGUUUCAUCAUCAUUGCCCUUUUUGGUCUUUUGUAGAUAGCCCGAACUUGACGUAUCGGCGAGUGUGUUACUAUAAACUGCAGACUUUUGUAGAUUGUCUCUAAGCUUCUCCACCGUUAGUCUGAUUGGUAAAAUUAUGAAUUUUAAAUUCUUCAAGUACAAACUUGCAUGAGUACUUACAAUGUUAAUGGUGAGAAUGAGAUUACAACAAUGUGCGUCGUAAAUAAAUUGGUAUUUUAGUCUACGAA